UGGUGGAGGAGAUUAUGGGGGCCUGAAAGAGUCUUCAGAGCAGCUCAGGUUCAGCCACCAGUGUUUCACAAGCAGCUUACUUUGGGGAAGUCUUUGUGGUGUGAAGAAGCUGCCCUUGGGAGGCAGGAGAGCUGGGUUUGAAUUUCACCAUGACCACCACCACCACCACCACCAGCACCAUCACCACUGAAUAGGUGUGUGAAGGGCAAGAGACCUCACUUCUUCCGGGCUGCUGGAUCCUCUUGGAUUGCUGUUCUUGUUGCAGAUUUAUCAUCAGGGAAUUAAGAGAAGAUGAAUGCUGUAAUGCAGAAAACAAGCAUUGGUCCAUAGUCAGACAUGGGUUUAAAUCCGACCUCUGAUACUCGCUAGCUGUUUGACCUGACCUUGGACAAGUCACAUCUCAUAUGAUUUAGAAUUGUAACAGAUCUCCUAGGCAAACUAGUCCAACCUCCUCAUUUAAUAGAUGAGGAAACUGAAGCCCAAAGAAAUGAAGUGGCUUGCCUGUCACACAGGUCGUCAGCACAAGAUUUGGGAAGGCUCAUGACAAGCUGGAUAACUUUCAGAGGAAGCUAACCAGGAUGAAGGUCCUCAAGAUCAUGCUUCGUGAAGAACCUUAGAAGGAACUAGGGAUGUUUGGCCUGUAGCAGAAAAAACCUAGAGUUGUUUUGAAGAAGGGCUGUCAUAUAGAAAGGAGGAUUAGUUGUGUUCUGCUUGGCCACAAGGAACUGAGAACAAAGAACUAAGAAAUGCAUGGAAAUUGUGAAGACAUAAAUUUAAAUACAAUGCAAGGAAGCAAUCAGAGCUGUAAGGGUAGAUGUACUCCUUCUAUAGGUAGUGGCUUCCUCAUCAACGGAGGAUCUUCAAGCAAAGACUAUAAAAAGAAAACUUUUCUGCUAUAAAGGGGAUUGUCAGCAUCAGAGAUCUAGAACUAGAAAUAACUCAGAGGUUGUCUAUUCCAACCCCUUCCUUUUACAGAUGAAGAAACUGAGGUUUGUGGAGGCGAGAUGACUUGCCUAAAGUCACACAAGUUAUAAGCAGCAGCAGCAGAACUGGACCCCAAGUCCUCUGACACCAGAGCCUGUUCUUUCCACUGUAUUCUCUUACUCCCAUUUGGUCAGGUAUAAAUUGGACUUGAUGUUCUGAAAUGAAUGAAUGAAAAAAAGUAUUGAUAAAACACUAUGUGCGAUACAAAUGGAAAAGGGAAGAAUUACCUGGUCUCAAGGAGUUCAUGUGCUAAUAUAGGGAGAGACAACACAUGGUGGACAUUUUGGCAGCAAAUGAGUCAGAUGGAAGGGCCUCAUGGGCCUUAGGGUUCAGUGGCAAAACUGAUGGCAAUGCAUCUUCUUAAAUGCCUUAUCCAUUGAUAAAAGCCAUAUCUGUUUCUCACUCAAAGCAUUGGAUGGUGCCAAGGACAUCAAUUAUAGGAACCUCGAUUUUCAGUUUUUUAGUGCAGUGCCCACAGAAGCAGACAAUAGGACAUAUCUCCACAAGAGUUGCUCCACUGGACAAUGGCUGCAGGGGCUGGGACAAUGGGUUAUGACUGGUCAGUGGUUUGUUUUGGUGGUAACAAGCAUGGUGAGUCCCUUCUCCACAAAAGUUGUUCUUCUAGAGGAUGAUUGUGAGAACCCAGUUGGAAUCAGUAUUGGUGGGGAUGGAGGUAGGGAGGAUAGCAAUUCCAAAGACUCUUGAAUCUGGCUUCUAGGGUCCCUACCACCAGGAUCUGAGGGGAGAGGGGUGUACUGAUCUGACUUGCUUGGCAUAUGCUGCCUCCUAUAUCUUCCUUAGGAUGUCUUGUUGCUUCAGUUUGAUUAUCUUGUUUGUCUCACUGGUGGUAGGUGGUGGU